rnacentral:rRNA from 1 species
GUUUGACUGGGGCGGUCUCCUCCCAAAGAGUAACGGAGGAGCACGAAGGUACCCUCAGCGCGGUCGGACAUCGCGCAACGAGUGCAAAGGCAUAAGGGUGCUUGACUGCGAGACAGACAAGUCGAGCAGGUACGAAAGUAGGUCUUAGUGAUCCGGUGGUUCUGUAUGGAAGGGCCAUCGCUCAACGGAUAAAAGGUACUCCGGGGAUAACAGGCUGAUACCGCCCAAGAGUUCAUAUCGACGGCGGUGUUUGGCACCUCGAUGUCGGCUCAUCACAUCCUGGGGCUGAAGUCGGUCCCAAGGGUAUGGCUGUUCGCCAUUUAAAGUGGUACGCGAGCUGGGUUUAGAACGUCGUGAGACAGUUCGGUCCCUAUCUGCCGUGGGCGUCUGAGAUUUGAGGGAAGCUGCUCCUAGUACGAGAGGACCGGAGUGGACGUAUCUCUGGUGUUCCGGUUGUCACGCCAGUGGCACUGCCGGGUAGCUAAAUACGGACAGGAUAACCGCUGAAAGCAUCUAAGCGGGAAGCCCCUCCCAAGAUAAGAUCUCACUUGUCUCUUGAAGACACUGAAGGGCCGUUGAAGACUACAACGUUGAUAGGCUGGGUGUGGAAGCGCAGUAAUGCGUGAAGCUAACCAGUACUAAUUGCCCGUGAGGCUUGACCAUAUAACACCCAA